GCUGAUCCUCUUCGGAGGUGACGCUUGUGGAACGAGCGGCGGACGGGUGAGUAACACGUGGGCAACCUGCCUGUAAGACUGGGAUAACCCCGGGAAACCGGGGCUAAUACCGGAUAAUACUUUUCAUCACCUGAUGAGAAGUUGAAAGGUGGCUUUUAGCUACCACUUACAGAUGGGCCCGCGGCGCAUUAGCUAGUUGGUGAGGUAACGGCUCACCAAGGCAACGAUGCGUAGCCGACCUGAGAGGGUGAUCGGCCACACUGGGACUGAGACACGGCCCAGACUCCUACGGGAGGCAGCAGUAGGGAAUCUUCCGCAAUGGACGAAAGUCUGACGGAGCAACGCCGCGUGAGUGAUGAAGGUUUUCGGAUCGUAAAGCUCUGUUGUUAGGGAAGAACAAGUGCCGUUCGAAUAGGGCGGCACCUUGACGGUACCUAACCAGAAAGCCCCGGCUAACUACGUGCCAGCAGCCGCGGUAAUACGUAGGGGGCAAGCGUUGUCCGGAAUUAUUGGGCGUAAAGCGCGCGCAGGCGGUCCUUUAAGUCUGAUGUGAAAGCCCACGGCUCAACCGUGGAGGGUCAUUGGAAACUGGAGGACUUGAGUACAGAAGAGGAGAGUGGAAUUCCACGUGUAGCGGUGAAAUGCGUAGAGAUGUGGAGGAACACCAGUGGCGAA
rnacentral:rRNA from 1 species